rnacentral:tRNA from 2 species
GCGAGAUUAGUUUAGUGGCAGAACUGGUGCUUCCCAAGCAUCGGGCGCCGGUCCGAUUCCGGCAUCUCGCACUA